rnacentral:rRNA from 1 species
AAGCAUAUCAAUAAGCGGAGGAAAAGAAACCAACAGGGAUUGCCUUAGUAACGGCGAGUGAAGCGGCAACAGCUCAAAUUUGAAAGCUGGCCCUUUCAGGGUCCGCAUUGUAAUUUGUAGAGGAUGAUUCGGCGAGGGCUCCCGCCUAAGUCCCCUGGAACGGGGCGUCAUAGAGGGUGAGAAUCCCGUAUGCGGUGGGUUGCCUUAGCCAUGUGAAUCUCCUUCGACGAGUCGAGUUGUUUGGGAAUGCAGCUCUAAAUGGGAGGUAAAUUUCUUCUAAAGCUAAAUACCGGCCAGAGACCGAUAGCGCACAAGUAGAGUGAUCGAAAGAUGAAAAGCACUUUGGAAAGAGAGUUAAAAAGUACGUGAAAUUGUUGAAAGGGAAGCGCUUGCAACCAGACUUGUCCGCAGUUGCUCAGCCGGUCUUCUGACCGGCGUACUCUUCUGCGGCCAGGCCAGCAUCAGUUCGGGCGGUCGGAUAAAGACCUCGGGAAUGUAGCUCCUCUCGGGGAGUGUUAUAGCCCGGGGUGGAAUGCGGCCAGCCUGGACUGAGGAUCUCGCUUCGGCAAGGAUGCUGGCGUAAUGGUUGUAAGC